UUAACACAUGCAAGUCGAGGGGCAGCAUGGUCUUAGCUUGCUAAGGCCGAUGGCGACCGGCGCACGGGUGAGUAACACGUAUCCAACCUGCCGUCUACUCUUGGACAGCCUUCUGAAAGGAAGAUUAAUACAAGAUGGCAUCAUGAGUCCGCAUGUUCACAUGAUUAAAGGUAUUCCGGUAGACGAUGGGGAUGCGUUCCAUUAGAUAGUAGGCGGGGUAACGGCCCACCUAGUCUUCGAUGGAUAGGGGUUCUGAGAGGAAGGUCCCCCACAUUGGAACUGAGACACGGUCCAAACUCCUACGGGAGGCAGCAGUGAGGAAUAUUGGUCAAUGGGCGAGAGCCUGAACCAGCCAAGUAGCGUGAAGGAUGACUGCCCUAUGGGUUGUAAACUUCUUUUAUAAAGGAAUAAAGUCGGGUAUGCAUACCCGUUUGCAUGUACUUUAUGAAUAAGGAUCGGCUAACUCCGUGCCAGCAGCCGCGGUAAUACGGAGGAUCCGAGCGUUAUCCGGAUUUAUUGGGUUUAAAGGGAGCGUAGAUGGAUGUUUAAGUCAGUUGCGAAAGUUUGCGGCUCAACCGUAAAAUUGCAGUUGAUACUGGAUAUCUUGAGUGCAGUUGAGGCAGGCGGAAUUCGUGGUGUAGCGGUGAAAUGCUUAGAUAUCACGAAGAACUCCGAUUGCGAAGGCAGCCUGCUAAGCUGCAACUGACAUUGAGGCUCGAAAGUGUGGGUAUCAAACAGGAUUAGAUACCCUGGUAGUCCACACGGUAAACGAUGAAUACUCGCUGUUUGCGAUAUACAGCAAGCGGCCAAGCGAAAGCGUUAAGUAUUCCACCUGGGGAGUACGCCGGCAACGGUGAAACUCAAAGGAAUCGACGGGGGCCCGCACAAGCGGAGGAACAUGUGGUUUAAUUCGAUGAUACGCGAGGAACCUUACCCGGGCUUAAAUUGCAGAUGAAUUACGGUGAAAGCCGUAAGCCGCAAGGCAUCUGUGAAGGUGCUGCAUGGUUGUCGUCAGCUCGUGCCGUGAGGUGUCGGCUUAAGUGCCAUAACGAGCGCAACCCUUGUUGUCAGUUACUAACAGGUUCCGCUGAGGACUCUGACAAGACUGCCAUCGUAAGAUGUGAGGAAGGUGGGGAUGACGUCAAAUCAGCACGGCCCUUACGUCCGGGGCUACACACGUGUUACAAUGGGGGGUACAGAGGGCCGCUACCACGCGAGUGGAUGCCAAUCCCAAAAACCUCUCUCAGUUCGGACUGGAGUCUGCAACCCGACUCCACGAAGCUGGAUUCGCUAGUAAUCGCGCAUCAGCCACGGCGCGGUGAAUACGUUCCCGGGCCUUGUACACACCGCCCGUCAAGCCAUGGGAGCCGGGGGUACCUGAAGUGCGUAACCGCGAGGAGCGCCCUAGGGUAAAACUGGUGACUGGGGCUAAGUCAUAACA
rnacentral:rRNA from 1 species